GACGAACGCUGGCGGCGUGCCUAACACAUGCAAGUCGAACGGGGUAGAGAGCUUCGGUUUUCUACUUAGUGGCGAACGGGUGAGUAACGCGUGAGGAACCUGCCUUCCAGUGGGGGACAACAGUUGGAAACGACUGCUAAUACCGCAUAACAUACACGGACCGCAUGAUCUGUGUAUCAAAGCUUUAUGUGCUGGAAGAUGGCCUCGCGUCUGAUUAGCUAGUUGUGGGUAACGGCUCACCAAGGCGACGAUCAGUAGCCGGUCUGAGAGGAUGAACGGCCACAUUGGGACUGAGAUACGGCCCAGACUCCUACGGGAGGCAGCAGUGGGGAAUAUUGGGCAAUGGGGGAAACCCUGACCCAGCAACGCCGCGUGAGGGAGAAGGUUUUUCGGAUUGGUAAACCUCUGUUAGCAGGGACGAAGGACGUGACGGUACCUGCAGAAAAAGCAACGGCUAACUACGUG
rnacentral:rRNA from 1 species